AAGUAUGCUCAGUUGUUAUUAUUUUGAAUUUUAAUUAUAUCUCAAAUCUCUUUUACAUCCUAAUGACAAUGCAGAAUGAAAUCUGCUUUCUCUCUGAUAAACUUAAUAAUUAAUCUGUAUUUGCAAAAACUCACACAGGGGUUUGAUGUGUAUGAAAAGUUAUGAAUGUAGCUUAGUUGAAAUGCAAAGAAGGAGCUAAAUUUCUCUUAAGACAUUUAUCAGGUAUGAAAAGUUAUGAAUUGCACUUAGAUGAAAUGCAAAGAAGGAGCUAAACUUCUCUUAAGACAUUUAUCAGGUAUGAAAAGUUAAGAAUGGGGGUUAGUUGAAAUGCAAGGAAGGAGCUAAACUAAUCUGAAGACUUUUAUCAGGUAUGAAAAAUUAAGAAUGGGGCUUAGUUGAAAUGCAAGGAAGGAGCUAAACUAAUCUGAAGACUUUUAUCAGGUAUGAAAAGUUAUGAAUUGCACUUAGAUGAAAUGCAAAGAAGGAGCUAAACUUCUCUUAAGACUUUUAUCAGGUAUGAAAAAUUAAGAAUGGGGCUUAGUUGAAAUGCAAGGAAGGAGCUAAACUAAUCUGAAGACUUUUAUCAGGUAUGAAAAAUUAAGAAUGGGGCUUAGUUGAAAUGCAAGGAAGGAGCUAAACUAAUCUGAAGACUUUUAUCAGGUAUGAAAAGUUAUGAAUUGCACUUAGAUGAAAUGCAAAUAAGGAGCUAAACUUCUCUUAAGACAUUUAUCAGGUAUGAAAAAUUAAGAAUGGGGCUUAGUUGAAAUGCAAGGAAGGAGCUAAACUAAUCUGAAGACUUUUAUCAGGUAUGAAAAGUUAUGAAUGUAGCUUAGUUGAAAUGCAAAGAAGGAGCUAAAUUUCUCUUAAGACAUUUAUCAGGUAUGAAAAGUUAUGAAUGGGGCUUAGUUGAAAUGAAAGGAAGGAGCUAAACUAAUCUGAAGACUUUUAUCAGGUAUGAAAAAUUAAGAAUGGGGCUUAGUUGAAAUGCAAGGAAGGAGCUAAACUAAUCUGAAGACUUUUAUCAGGUAUGAAAAGUUAUGAAUUGCACUUAGAUGAAAUGCAAAUAAGGAGCUAAACUUCUCUUAAGACAUUUAUCAGGUAUGAAAAAUUAAGAAUGGGGCUUAGUUGAAAUGCAAGGAAGGAGCUAAACUAAUCUGAAGACUUUUAUCAGGUAUGAAAAGUUAUGAAUGUAGCUUAGUUGAAAUGCAAAGAAGGAGCUAAAUUUCUCUUAAGACAUUUAUCAGGUGUGUAUAUUUAUG